GAUGAACGCUAGCGGCAGGCCUAACACAUGCAAGUCGAGGGGCAGCAAGGGUAGCAAUACCUGUUGGCGACCGGCGCACGGGUGAGUAUCGCGUUUGUAACCUACCUUUAACUGGAGGAUAGCCCGAAGAAAUUCGGAUUAAUACUCCAUAAUACUAUGAAUUGGCAUCUUUUUAUAGUUAAAGCUCCGGCGGUUAGAGAUGGGCAUGCGUGACAUUAGUUUGUUGGUGAGGUAACGGCUCACCAAGACUACGAUGUCUAGGGGGUCUGAGAGGAUGGUCCCCCA
rnacentral:rRNA from 1 species